UAAAAUGAAUAACAAAAUAUUCUUUACUGAAGUAAUGGGAUCUAUUAUUAAAUAUAAUAUAGUAAUAGAUCGGUAGGGGAGCGUUCUACAUUAAAAUAAAGCAAAGUUAAUAAAUUUUGUGAAUAAAGUAGAAGUGAGAAUGUCGGUUUAAGUAACAAUAAAUAUUAAGAUGAAUCUAAUACCUCGAAAACUCAAAAGGUUCCUAUGAAAGGAUAUACCGCAUAGGGUUAGUCGGGACCUAAGAUAAGAAAUUUAUUAUAAUCGAUGGUAAUCAAGUUAAUAUUCUUGAACCAUAUUUAUAUGCUAUACNAGUANUGACCUUAAUUUAGUUUUUAAGUAAAAUAAAUGAUUUUUUUCUUAAAAAUAAAAAUUUUUGCUAGAAAAAUGAUACUGUAUAAUUGUAAAUAUGCCCGUACUAAAACUGACACAAGUGAGUAAGUAUUAAUGUACUAAGAGGACGAAACAAAUUUUUUUAAGGAAAUCGGCAAAACAAUCCUGUAACUUAGGGAUAAAGGAUGCCUAUAAGGCUGCAAUUAAAAAGUUCAAGCGACUGUUUCUCAAAAACACAGGUAUCCGCAAAGUGUAAUUACGAAGUAAGGAUACUGACACCUGCCCAGUGCUAGUAAGUUAAGAAAAAUUUUUAUGUAAUACAAAUAAUUUUUUUAUAAGCUCUAGUAAACGGCGGCUGUAACUAUAACGGUCCUAAGGUAGCGAAAUUCAUUGUCGGGUAAGUUCCGACCCGCACGAAAGGUGAAACGACUUGAACACUGUCUUUAAGAAAAAUUCGGUGAAAUAGAAAUGUCUGUAAAGAUCCAGGCCUUUUACAUCAGGCCAGAAAGCCCCUAAGAAGCUUUACGUGCAAUUUGUAAUUGCCAUUCAAUUUUAUUUAUAUAGUGUAAGUGGGAAGUUCUUACUUCAAAUGAAACACCCCUUUAAUAACACUUAAAUUCUCACGAUAAUUUUUUCAUCAUAUUAAAUCAAAAUUUCAAAAAGGUAGUUUGGCUGGGCCGGUUGCCUCCUAAAGAGUCACCGAGGUGCCCAAAGGUGCUUUUUUUUUAAUACAAUAAAAUAUUAAAAUUAAAAAAUGUAAAGGUUUAAUAGUAAAAAGGCUUGAUUGUAAGAGGAACUACUUAAGCAAGGACGAAAGUCGGUCUUAAUGAUCCGGUAGAUCUAAGUGGA
rnacentral:rRNA from 1 species